UCAACUUGAGAGUUUGAUCCUGGCUCAGAACGAACGCUGGCGGCAGGCCUAACACAUGCAAGUCGAGCGGAGGACUUCGGUCCUUAGCGGCGGACGGGUGAGUAACGCGUGGGAACGUGCCCAGAGGUACGGAAUAGCCCAGGGAAACUUGGAGUAAUACCGUAUACGCCCUACGGGGGAAAGAUUUAUCGCCUUUGGAUCGGCCCGCGUUGGAUUAGGUAGUUGGUGGGGUAAUGGCCUACCAAGCCGACGAUCCAUAGCUGGUUUGAGAGGAUGAUCAGCCACACUGGGACUG
rnacentral:rRNA from 1 species